GACGAACGCUGGCGGCGUGCUUAACACAUGCAAGUCGAACGGAAAGGCCCUGCUUUUGUGGGGUGCUCGAGUGGCGAACGGGUGAGUAACCCGUGAGUAACCUGCCCUUGCCUUUGGGAUAACUUCAGGAAACUGGGGCUAAUACCGGAUAGGAGCUCCUGCUGCAUGGUGGGGGUUGGAAAGUUUCGGCGGUUGGGGAUGGACUCGCGGCUUAUCAGCUUGUUGGUGGGGUAGUGGCUUACCAAGGCUUUGACGGGUAGCCGGCCUGAGAGGGUGACCGGCCACAUUGGGACUGAGAUACGGCCCAGACUCCUACGGGAGGCAGCAGUGGGGAAUAUUGCACAAUGGGCGGAAGCCUGAUGCAGCAACGCCGCGUGCGAGAUGACGGCCUUCGGGUUGUAAACCGCUUUCGCCUGUGACGAAGCGUGAGUGACGGUAAUGGGUAAAGAAGCACCGGCUAACUACGUG
rnacentral:rRNA from 1 species